rnacentral:rRNA from 1 species
UGCCAGCCGCCGCGGUAAUACGGAGGGGGCGAGCGUUGUUCGGAAUUACUGGGCGUAAAGGGUGCGCAGGCGGCGUCGCCAGUCAGGUGUGAAAUCCCCGGGCUCAACCCGGGAACUGCACUUGAUACUGCGAUGCUAGAGUUCGGAAGAGGGUAGUGGAAUUCCGAGUGUAGAGGUGAAAUUCGUAGAUAUUCGGAGGAACACCAGUGGCGAAGGCGGCUCACUGGCUCGAUACUGACGCUGAGGUGCGAAAGCGUGGGGAGCAAACAGGAUUAGAUA